UGUCUGGCGGCGAGAGCGCGGUGGUCCCACCUGACCCCAUGCCGAACUCAGAAGUGAAACGCCGUAGCGCCGAUGGUAGUGUGGGGUCUCCCCAUGCGAGAGUAGGGAACUGCCAGACAU
rnacentral:rRNA from 1 species